AGCACAGUCAGCUAAUUAAGCUCUCGGGCCCAUACCCCGAAAAUGUUGGACACACCCAACCUUUGCU
rnacentral:tRNA from 1 species